GGAUGAACGCUGGCGGCGUGCCUAACACAUGCAAGUCGAGCGAUUUUCUUAGGAGAAGAGCGGCGGACGGGUGAGUAACGCGUGGGUAACCUGCCUCAUACACAUGGAUAACAUACCGAAAGGUAUGCUAAUACAGGAUAACAUAAGAGAUUCACAUGGAUUUCUUAUCAAAGCUCCGGCGGUAUGAGAUGGACCCGCGUCUGAUUAGCUAGUUGGUAAGGUAACGGCUUACCGAGGCGACGAUCAGUAGCCGACCUGAGAGGGUGAUCGGCCACAUUGGAACUGAGACACGGUCCAAACUCCUACGGGAGGCAGCAGUGGGGAAUAUUGCACAAUGGGCGAAAGCCUGAUGCAAGCAACGCCGCGUGAGUGAUGAAGGCCUUCGGGUCGUAAAACUCUGUCCUCAAGGAAGAUAAUGACGGUACUUGAGGAGGAAGCCCCGGCUAACUACGUGCCAGCAGCUGC
rnacentral:rRNA from 1 species